CUCCCUUGCUCCAGGCUCAUUCCCUGUGACCACACGGGGGAAUACACUGGGGAAUGCACUCCCUAUUGUGUUACAGCCCAGCUCUUUGACCCUAGGGUUUAUGAUUAUCAAAAAUUAAGGAGCCAAGCAAUGAGGGGGCAGCCAGCCUGCUUUCCAGGGAUGGACGGGUCCUGGACACUAUCUCCUGGAUGCCAAUGAGUGGCUGAGAGCUGAAGCUCCAUGGACGCUCAAGGCUCUUGUGGUGACAGCUGCCAGGCAUCUCCCUGUUUCACUCUGUGGCAAAACUGCUCCAUGGUGUCCUCUGCACUCAGCUCCAGUUCCUCUCCUGUGAAACCUUCCCCUGUCAGGAGGUCUUUGGGGACCACUGAACCAACGCUGCUCCUGUCAAGGUCAUCAGUCAUCCCCAUGUUGCUGCAUCCUGUGGUCAAUAUCAGUCACUUCCCAGGCCCCAUCUCACUUGACCCAUCACAGAAGCCUUCGACUCUGUUGAUAUUUGUACCAUGAACUUUAUUCCACAAAUAAUAAAGAAAGGUUUUGAAAACCAGAUCGUGUCAUCAGUUUUUAAAAUUAUGUUAUAAUGGAUACAUACAAAAGAAACUGUGGAAUGCAUAUAUUAAUAUUCAGGUUAGAUACAAAUGUGCCCUUCCCACCCUGUUGAGUCUUACACAUGUGGGGAUAUUAUUCCCUUGCACAAAUUAGGAGAGGGGGGUCAGAGAGGUUAAGACACCUGCAGGAGGCAGAGCUAGGAUUUGAACCCAACUCUGACUCUAAAAUCUGUAUUUCAUCCAGUAGGCAGCACUGCCCUCAAGGAAGAUCCAGGUUUUUUGGAGCCUGAGGUAAAUACAUUUCAGAGCCUGUUUGCAAAAUAUAAAUUGUAAAACCACAGUAGGUUUUUUUUUUUUUGUAAG
rnacentral:lncRNA from 1 species